UCUAUCAUGCAGUCGAGCGGACAGAUGGGAGCUUGCUCCCUGAUGUUAGCGGCGGACGGGUGAGUAACACGUGGGUAACCUGCCUGUAAGACUGGGAUAACUCCGGGAAACCGGGGCUAAUACCGGAUGGUUGUUUGAACCGCAUGGUUCAAACAUAAAAGGUGGCUUCGGCUACCACUUACAGAUGGACCCGCGGCGCAUUAGCUAGUUGGUGAGGUAACGGCUCACCAAGGCGACGAUGCGUAGCCGACCUGAGAGGGUGAUCGGCCACACUGGGACUGAGACACGGCCCAGACUCCUACGGGAGGCAGCAGUAGGGAAUCUUCCGCAAUGGACGAAAGUCUGACGGAGCAACGCCGCGUGAGUGAUGAAGGUUUUCGGAUCGUAAAGCUCUGUUGUUAGGGAAGAACAAGUACCGUUCGAAUAGGGCGAUACCUUGACGGUACCUAACCAGAAAGCCACGGCUAACUACGUGCCAGCAGCCGCGGUAAUACGUAGGUGGCAAGCGUUGUCCGGAAUUAUUGGGCGUAAAGGGCUCGCAGGCGGUUUCUUAAGUCUGAUGUGAAAGCCCCCGGCUCAACCGGGGAGGGUCAUUGGAAACUGGGGAACUUGAGUGCAGAAGAGGAGAGUGGAAUUCCACGUGUAGCGGUGAAAUGCGUAGAGAUGUGGAGGAACACCAGUGGCGAAGGCGACUCUCUGGUCUGUAACUGACGCUGAGGAGCGAAAGCGUGGGGAGCGAACAGGAUUAGAUA
rnacentral:rRNA from 1 species